rnacentral:rRNA from 1 species
AGGGUAGGCCCCUGCAGUCGACGAUUCCUACGGGAGGCAGCAGUGAGGAAUGUUGGGCAAUGGAGGCAACUCUGACCCAGCCAUGCCGCGUGCAGGAAGACUGCCCUAUGGGUUGUAAACUGCUUUUAUACGGGAAGAAACACCGCUACGUGUAGCGGCUUGACGGUACCGUAAGAAUAAGGAUCGGCUAACUCCGUGCCAGCAGCCGCGGUAAUACGGAGGAUCCAAGCGUUAUCCGGAAUCAUUGGGUUUAAAGGGUCCGUAGGUGGAUAAUUAAGUCAGAGGUGAAAUCCUGCAGCUCAACUGUAGAAUUGCCUUUGAUACUGGUUGUCUUGAGUCAUUGUGAAGUAGUUAGAAUAUGUAGUGUAGCGGUGAAAUGCAUAGAUAUUACAUAGAAUACCGAUUGCGAAGGCAGAUUACUAACAAUGUACUGACACUGAUGGACGAAAGCGUGGGGAGCGAACAGGAUUAGAUACCCUGGUAGUCCACGCCGUAAACGAUGGUCACUAGCUGUUCGGACUUCGGUCUGAGUGGCUAAGCGAAAGUGAUAAGUGACCCACCUGGGGAGUACGUUCGCAAGAAUGAAACUCAAAGGAAUUGACGG